GGAAGGAUUGGGAUCUUACCUUGGUUCCGGUGGCAUCUCCGGUCUUGAUUUUCGGUGGGCACGGUGAAGGCAAUCAACGACUCCAUCGAAAGAAAAGAGGGAGAUAGAAGAGAGAGGAAGCCUGAUGUUUUCAUGGCUUGCUUAAGAUAAAGAAGAGGGAAUUUAUAGAUGGGAUCUAGGGCUCCUAGAGUCCCAAUCCCAUUCUGA
rnacentral:lncRNA from 1 species